UACCCUAACGGCUGAACCCACAACUUGGAGGAGUAUAGCAAUAGCUAAUUGCACUAAUGUAAGAUCGACUAUGUCGAAUAAAGUUCUGGGUAGUAUUAUGAUAAUGACAUUAUCUACCCAUAUGUCUUGACCAAGUUACGUGCCAGCAGUCGCGGUAAUACGUAGUAGACUAGUGUUAUUCAUCUUUAAUAGGUUUAAAGGGUACCUAGAUGGUAAAUCAAGCCCGAGGUACUGAUUUGCUAGAGUUUUAUGUGAGGUUAAAGUACUGGUGGUGUAGAGAUGAAAUUUGUGAUACCAUGGGGACUGGUGGCGAAAGCAUCCUUUUAUGUAAAAACUGACGUUUAAGGACGAAGGCUUUGUGUCGCAAAAAGGAUUAGAUACCCUAGUAGUCUAAGCAGACAAUGAUGAAUGUCAUAGAUUAGAUAUUUUGUUCUAUAAAUGAAAGUGUAAGCAUUCCACCUCAAGAGUAAUUUGGCAACAUUGGAACUGAAAUCAUUAGACCGUUUCUGAAACCAGUAGUGAAGUAUGUUGUUUAAUUUGAUGAUCCGCAAAAAACCUUACCACAAUUUGAAUAUCUAACAAGCGUUGCACGGUUGUCUUCAGUUAAUGUCGUGAGAUUUUGGUUAGUUCCAUUAAAUUAACGUAAACCCUUACUUUAUUUUAAUAUAAAGUAGUUCAUCAUUAGAUUGGAUAUGACAAAAGGGUCAAGACAAGUCAUCAUGGCCUAAAUUGUGG
rnacentral:rRNA from 1 species